UAGCUUGCUACUUUGCUGACGAGUGGCGGACGGGUGAGUAAUGUCUGGGGAUCUGCCUGAUGGAGGGGGAUAACUACUGGAAACGGUAGCUAAUACCGCAUAAUGUCGCAAGACCAAAGCGGGGGACUUUCGGGCCUCGCACCAUCAGAUGAACCCAGAUGGGAUUAGCUAGUAGGUAGGGUAAUGGCUUACCUAGGCGACGAUCCCUAGCUGGUCUGAGAGGAUGACCAGCCACACUGGAACUGAGACACGGUCCAGACUCCUACGGGAGGCAGCAGUGGGGAAUAUUGCACAAUGGGCGCAAGCCUGAUGCAGCCAUGCCGCGUGUAUGAAGAAGGCCUUCGGGUUGUAAAGUACUUUCAGUCAGGAGGAAGGGUGUGAAAUUAAUACUUUCAUGCAUUGACGUUACUGACAGAAGAAGCACCGGCUAACUCCGUGCCAGCAGCCGCGGUAAUACGGAGGGGCAAGCGUUAAUCGGAAUUACUGGGCGUAAAGCGCACGCAGGCGGUUUGUUAAGUCAGAUGUGAAAUCCCCGGGCUCAACCUGGGAACUGCAUUUGAAACUGGCAAGCUUGAGUCUUGUAGAGGGGGGUAGAAUUCCAGGUGUAGCGGGAAAUGCGUAGAGAUCUGGAGGAAUACCGGUGGCGAAGGCGGCCCCCUGGACAAAGACUGACGCUCAGGUGCGAAAGCGUGGGGGAGCAAACAGGAUUAGAUACCCUGGUAGUCCACGCCG
rnacentral:rRNA from 1 species